GGGAGGGAGUGACUAGUGACAGAGUGAGGAAGCGGGUGACACAGUGACAGAGUUAGGGAGGGAGUGACUAGUGACAGAGAGAGGGAUGGGGUGACUAGUGACAGUCACCACCUCCCUCACUCUGUCACUAGUCACCACCUCCCUCCGUCACUGUGUCACCCCCUCCCUCACUCUGUCACCAGUCAUCCCCUUACUCUGUCACUAGUCACCCCUCCCUUCCC